rnacentral:rRNA from 1 species
UGCGUAGGGUGCAAGCGUUGUCCGGAAUUAUUGGGCGUAAAGAGCUCGUAGGCGGUUUGUUGCGUCGGCUGUGAAAACCUGAGGCUCAACCUCAGGCCUGCAGUCGAUACGAGCAGACUAGAGUGUUGCAGGGGAGACUGGAAUUCCUGGUGUAGCGGUGAAAUGCGCAGAUAUCAGGAGGAACACCGGUGGCGAAGGCGGGUCUCUGGGCAACAACUGACGCUGAGGAGCGAAAGCGUGGGGAGCGAACAGG